UGCCGGGUGGUCAAAACCCGGAGGAAAGGUCGGGGAAUGACGGUCAAGUCCUCAUGGCCUUUAUGCCCAGGGCUACACACGUGCUACAAUGGGCGGUACAAAGAGCAGCGAGCUCGCGAGAGUAAGCAAAUCUCAAAAAGCCGUCCUCAGUUCGGAUUGGAGUCUGCAACUCGACUCCAUGAAGUUGGAAUCGCUAGUAAUCGCGGAUCAGCAUGCCGCGGUGAAUACGUUCCCGGGCCUU
rnacentral:rRNA from 1 species